rnacentral:lncRNA from 1 species
AUGGAGCUCGUCGGAAGAGAAAGAUGUUGGUGUACUGGAGACAAGAAAGAAGGGGUUGAGAUGUGUGAAUUGGUUCAUGCUUGGUUUAUUUUCAGACUUGUGUGUUUUUUUCUUUGUGGAGAAAUGUUUAAACGUUACCAAUGUUGAGAAAGUUUGCAGACUACUUAUGGUUAUGUAAGAAACGAAAAACUUGAAAUCUCUUUUGAAAUGGAUAGUUAUGCUUAUUAAUUGUGAGAUAACUAGAGACCGGCACAUCAUACCAUAGGAUCCCGGUAUAAGUUAAACCGGCAUAUUGAACAUAACCAGUUGGUUUUCUAUGUAAUUGCAUAAAACUCUUGACGGUCGGAUCAUAAACCCACCUUCGACGG